GGAAGGAUCAUUACAGAGUUCAUGCCCGAA
rnacentral:rRNA from 2 species